rnacentral:rRNA from 1 species
GACCUCGGAUCAGGUAGGAAUACCCGCUGAACUUAAGCAUAUCAAUUA